rnacentral:lncRNA from 1 species
GCGAAGCAAAUCGAUUGAAGAAGCUCUUCUACUUUGAUUAAGUCUUUCACUGUGAAUCAAGAUGAGAUUUUAUAAAUAUUAUAAAAAUUUUAAUUGCUAAUCUAUUCAAUUUUUUUCUGACAUUUGAUACGAUCGGAUAAUUUUUUCUUCAGAAGCGACACAAGCAAGACCAACACUCUGAUCUUCUCAACCUUCUUACCAACGUUGAGAAGAUCGGUGAGGAUCUUC